UUCCGGGCUGGCCGGCUCGGGGCCGCUCGCGCAGUCACGCGCGUACACACAUCACCCCCGCACCCACACGCCCAGCGGGGUCCUCGCCUCUCCUCCCGGCGCCGCUCCACGCAGCCAAGCAUCAUCUGCCCGGCGGGGGCGCAGGUAUUGCAAGCCUGUGGGUUUGAAGCUUAAAAGUACCUGUGGUCUUUGUCCUCAUGGCGUCUGGUGAGGAAGACUGGACAAAGAGAAGAGGGGUAAAGGGUCUGGAGAUGGCAUCCACCUCCCCGGCCCCUCCCCUGCCUCCCGUGGUGGUCAGCCCCCCAGCAGGGAGAGAAGCACCAGGGGGAAGAUGUCUUGGGCCAAGGUGCCUCAUUUAUCAAGAAAGCCCCGUGAUGUAGCUAUUGUUUUAUCCCCAUCUUACAGAGGAGGAAACUGAGACCCAAAGAGGGCAAAACCCCUGUGUGGGAGGUGGGAAGAGUCACUUGCCUGCUGAGAGUGGCUGCUCCAUUUUGCCUUCUGUCUUCUUGCUGUGGCACAGGUAACUGCUACCACAAUUUAAAAUUUAAAAAUCCAGUUCCUCAGUCACACUUGACACAUUUCAGGUGCUCUGUAGCCACACAUGGCUAGUGGCUGCUGCAUGGGACAGCACGGAUACAGGACAUUUCCUUCAUCAUGGAGAAUUCUAUCAGACGGUGCUGCCCAAGAGCAGGGGUCAGCAAACCUCGGGAGCCAAGUCCAGCUGGCUGCCUGUUUUUAAUAAAUAAAGCUUUAUUGGAACGCAGCCACGCUUAUUCAUCUAUAUAUUGCCUUUGGCUGCUUUCCGUGCUACAAAUGGCAGAAACCCUCACAGUCCAACUUGACAAUAGUGAUCUAAAACAGUGGUCCUCAAAGUGUGGUCCCUGAACCAGUAGCAUCAGUUUCACCAGGGAAAUUCUUAGAAAUGCAAAUUCUCAGGCCCCACCCCAAACCAACCAAAUUGGAAACGCUGGAGCUGGGACCCAGCAUACUAAACAAGCCUUCCAGGUCAUUCUGAUGUACAUGCAAGAGGAAAACCACUACCCCAAAAUACACAUUGGGGGAAAUGCCAACCUAAUGCCUGGCUCAGUUAGGGUGCCAGUGGGCUUCCGUGCAGGAGCAGAGUGUGGAGUGGUGUCAGAGAGCAUUAACCCACCAGCUGCCUGGCCCCUCUCAGCCCUGCGACAGAGGCCACGCCAACCAGAGGGGACCCCUCGCCAGCCGUGGGCACUGAUGCCCCAUGCCGCCCCGCCCUCCCACCAAGUUGUCAGCACACUCCGAGCUGCCUCACGCAUAAAUUCACAGACCAGCUGUCUCUUUUAAUCUGGUUGCAAAAUGAAACCAUUAAUAGAUGUCAGACACAUUGGCAAUGAUCUCUUCAUUAAUAAUUUCCUCCUUUCUUAGGAAAAAAAAAUUAGUAACAAGCAACCAUCAAUAAUUCAAAAAUACAAGUUAACCUUUCUAUUAGCAGAGCCACUCUGCACACACUGUGGACUCUUCCAGAGCCCAUAGUUCUGGCUUGAGAAAUGUUUUGAUGGCAUGAAUAUUAAUAUACAUUAAUGCUGUCCGUCAAGGCACACAAACAUAAAUAACCCAGAUGCAGCUUAGAAACCAUAAGUGUUUUUCAACUUUAUCCUCAUGAUCCAGCCAUUUUAUUUCUACAAAAAUAUGCAUUAUCCAACAAUAUUUCGGGGUCCAAAAUCAGGAGUCUACUGAGGAAUCCAUUUCCAGAUAAAGGCCCUUGUGCAAGUAAGUUCUCCCUUUCAGUGUUGGCUGAACCAACACUGCCUCUCUAUAAUUCCCUCUCUUCAAAGUUUGUUCCUCUCUCUGAGGACACACAGAUAAGCUUGGACACACUUCCAGGUAACUUUCAUUCAGGUGUUGGCUCUGUGCCAGGUAAGCUUUUUCAAUUCCUUACACCCUUUCUAUUCCACUUCUGUGUGUUUUCAGAUCCCUAAUACCUGGUUCCUCUCCUCAGACCCGCUUCAUUUGGGCAGUGCCCCCACACCUGCCACAUCCCCACGCCUCCAUUUACCACCCAUGUGACCACACACUAGUCACUUCCCCUCUCCAAAUCUGUUUCCCCAUCUGUGAAAUUGGGGUGAUUAUUCCCACCUCACUGAGCUGAUGUGGGAAUUAAGUGAGUUAAUGGAUGUGAAAACACCUAGAACAGACAUGACCUGCUCAAGAGAACAUUUCCUUUUUUUCCUCCUUCCAAGUCUUUGAUUGGCCAUACCACCCAGCCUUGACAAGAGGCCAACUCUUCUAGACACUGGAACGUCAAAACAGCGUGGAGAGCCAGCUGCUUCGUCCUUAGGCCAAACACCAGCACGGGCCAGACUCUUGGCAAGUCAACCUCAGUGCCUAGGUUGCCCCAAAUUUAAUGCUAGAACCACAUCUCGCUUUGCCCAUUUGGAAUCUGCCAAACAGCUGCUGCUUUUCAUUAAAAAUAAAAUUAAGCAAUGGGCCGUGAGCACCCACCAUGGCAUUUGUACCUCGAAUCUGACCUGGCCUUGUGCUGGGUAGUGGGGAUGUGAAGAUAAAGUGACCCCAUUCACAAGGAGAGGUCACACCAGCACACCUGGGUGUUGGGGUUGAAUAACAGAUGUCAAACAUGAUUGAGGUCUGGCCCCAGCCUCUGCUUCCCACUUCCAGCAAAACAGCUUCUCUGAUGAAGCAGAAAAGGCACUGUUCUUGCAGCAGCCGGGCUCCCUGGAGUUGGGCACGUGCCUCUUCAGAACACUGAAGUCCCCAAGACUCUCAGCUCCUUUUCUGACUCCAAACUCAGAUUCUGGAAGAUCACAGGCAGGGAUGGACCUGAGAGAGACCCUCAUACCUGGCCACCUCCAGGAAUCCUUGCAUGUACUGAGAGAUGUGACUGAAGAGCAUGUGUUGGACAAACGAAUGGCACAAUUCUCAAAAGGGUCCAUGGGAUGCACCUGCACCAGAAGCACCUGAGAUGGCUGGUAAUUUUCCAUGCAGCUGACACUGCAUGACCGAUGCAGAGUCAGGGAUGAGGGAGAUCGAGAGCCUCCAGGCACAGCCCAGCCUGCAGAGGCCAGGUGUGCAACUUGCUCAUUUUUGUGUCUCUGACACCUAUAGGGACUUAGAGUAUGAAUACUGAGCCUGAAACAUGUACACAAUAAUGUUUGAGGCAGGACUCUUUUUGUUACAAAAGACAGAGACCUGGAUCAAGCUUAAGUAAAAAGAGGGAUCUAAUAGCUUAUUUAGUUGAGUAGUAGUUCAUGAGCAUCUCAAGCAGAGCUGGAUCCAGGUACUCAGAUGGUAUCAGGGACCC